UGGUAUUUGCUUUCAAUAUAUACAGAAUAAUACGUAUAAAUCAGUUUGCUAUGGUGGUAAAUGUAACCCAUUUCACAUGAGCCUGGAUUUAAAUCUUGUGUUUUUCUCUAAUGCAAUUUUUAAGAUGACUUUAUACAACACUAACCUCCGAUACGUUCAUACUUACCUUGUCUUACAAAAAAUGCUAAAACUAGAAAACAACUAAAAUGGUGUAAGUAAAAAUUUAAAAAAUGACAGACUAGAUAUAGACACAGAAGAAAACAACACUCUCUCUCUGCUCAGUUGAAAUUUAUUUUUUAACAGUGUCUACAUUCGAAUUGUACCCAUUUUUUGGGAAUG
rnacentral:lncRNA from 1 species